rnacentral:rRNA from 1 species
UUAUUCUAACGGACUCGUUUCAGAUUCUGGCGUAAAGCGAGCGCAGGCGGUUUGUUAAGUCUGAUGUGAAUCCCCGGGCUUAACCUGGGAACUGCAUCGGAUACUGGUGAACUUGAGUGCUGAAGAGGGGAGUGGAAUUCCAUGUGUAGCGGUGGAAUGCGUAGAUAUAUGGAAGAAACCCGUGGCGAAGGGCGCUCUCUGGUCUGCAACUGACGCUGAAGCUCGAAAGCGUGGGGAGCGAACAGGAUUAGAUACCCCCGUAGUCCA